AGAAGCCGACGUCAGACAAAGCUUAAGCUUCCUAGGAUGAAAAUCAACAUGAUUUGUACUCCGGCAAUGACAUGGCACUCAGAAGAAAGCUGGCUGAAGUGAAUGUGGAGAAGAACAAUGGAACAAGAGAGAUUCCAGCUGGGUUGGAUUAGCUGGGCAUCAGCAGGGGCAUUAGCCAAAGACAGAGGCAGAUCAUGAGAUGUAUGGAUAUUGUCCUAAGUAAGAACUAACCUGGCAAUGUUGGAAUGAAAUUUACAGGUAGAAGUGUUAUUGCUUGUGUUUCUGCAUGUGUGGCUAUGGGGGGAGGCUUUUAAUGUAUUGAAGACUGUCACUUGAUAUCUCUACACAGUGAGAGAUUUAUAGUGUAUUUGAUUGUGAUUUUAAUAGAGUAAAU